GAGAUUAGUGUGAAACGGAUCUAGGGGGAUUCGCAACCCAGACACCUCCUGUUGGUACAUUUCCAGCCACUUGUCCCUGAGGCUGACGCUGAGGUUUACGCCUUUUUUGAGCGGAAGAAUUCACCUUCUCGCUGAGAGGCAAUGAAUUCAGGCAGAACUGGGCAAAGGUCACUACGUUCUCGCACCUUCUGUAGAGAGGGUGGCGGGUGGAAGAACUUGCCUCUCCGUGACAGCAGUUUACAACACGAGGCCCAGAUUACACUCACCCUGGGCACAGACGUCCUUAAUAUCCCGAGGUGAACACAACACGAGUAAAUUCCUUGGGGUCCCAUCGAGCCGGAGGGCAGAAACACAGCCUUUAAAAGAAAUUAUACGCUGAGUGCAGAGCUUCAUAGUUUUCUGCUGCCUUAGCCCAUCCACUUGAAGGACCACGUGUUGUGCAUUCAGAGAUGUUCUUCUGCACACCACUGCUGUAACGCAUGGUUAUUAGAGUGACUGUCGCCAGUCUGACCAUUCCCCACUGACCUUUCUCAUUAACAAGAACUUCUGCAGAUGCUGGAAGUCCAAAGCAACACACGCAAAAUGCUGGAGGAACUCAGCAGGCCAGGCAGCAUCUUUGGAAAAGAGCAAACAGUUGAUGUUUCGGGCCGAGACACUUCAUCAGGACUGCAGGUGGUCUAAAGCCCUAUGACGAGCCACGGAGAUUGUGUCUGCUGUUGACCUAUUGUGAAAAUAGGCAAAUUGCAAUGGGUCCAGGUCCUUGCUGAGGCAGGAGUUCAGUAUAGUCAUAACCAACCUUUCAAAGCAUGCAUUUUCAGUAGAACUAUGAAACACAAUAUAAUUAAAGAAGAACUGCACACAAGCCAAGACUGCCAAAUGACCGAUGUGCAAAAGAAGACAACCUGUCCAAAUACAAAAAAAAACUCCCUGAUAAAUAAAUAAUAAAUUAUACUGAAAGCAUAAGUUGUGGAGUCCUUGAAAGUGAGUCUGCAGGUUCUGUGUUGAGAUCCAGAGUAACACCCCUGUGCCUAGCAUCACUUUUCUGGGCCUCUCUCCCAGAUGAGCUCAAUCGCUUUUACGCUCGGUUCGACGUCGCGAGCCUCCGAGGAAAGCCACCGCUACAACCUGGUCAUCGCUGAGGCACACAGGCGUUUCCAACGAGUGGACAAUCGCAAAGCUGCGGGACCAGGCGGCGUCCCAGGGCGAGUACUCAGGAUGUGCGUGGCACAACUGGCAGGGUUCUUUUGAAGACCCUGACCUGGAAUUACCCGCUGACUACGGUUCUCUGCAGGAGUAGGACCCAUUCUCAGAGUUUCAGGACUGACCAUUGAUCGGCACGCCAAGGGUUCGCCCUGCUCACACAUGACUUCAUGGCCAAACACCCAAGUUCACCGAUUACAUGACAGUGGUGCGGCUCAGCACCAACAACAAUGAGACGGCCUACAGGGAGGAGGUGGAAGAGCUCCAGGCCUGGAUACAGGCUUUUAACCUCUUCCUCAAUGCCAACAAGGCAAAGCAGAUUGUUAUCCACUUCAGAGAACUUGCCCCACUCACACCCCUCAUAACGUAAGUGACAUAGCAGUGGAAAUUGCGAGCAGUUUCAAACUCCUAGAGAGCAUCUCACACGCAAACUCUCAUCAUCCCUGAGGACAUCCUACUUGAUCAGGAAAGCUCACCAAUGCCUCUACUUUCCAAAGAGGCUGAAGAGAGAUGAACUAAGCACACCUACGCUGAUGGCCAACUACGGAUGUGCAGUAGAAAGCAUCCAAACAUGCUGCGUCACUGCAUGGUAUGGAAGCUGCACUGAAACAGAGAGGAACGGUCUAUAACAGAUCGUCAUAACUGCCCAAUGCAUCACUGUAGCGAUCACCUGCAUCACGACCAGAGAAAGGUCUGUCAAGUUCUGACACAAAGCGCUGGAGGAGCUCAGCUGGCUUGGCAACGUCUAUGGAAAAGUGUAAACAGUCGAUGUUUCAAGCCGAGACCCUUCAUCAGUACUGGGUUUGGCCUGCUGAGUUCCUCUGGCAUUUUGUGUGUGUUGCUCUGGAUUUCCAGCAUCUGCAGAUGUUCUCAUGCCUGUCAAGUCCCAUCUGGCUUCCUGAGGUGAAAAGUUUCGGGCAAAUUGAAACUCUUAAACUAUCUACAGUACAAGGCAAUGGAGCAGUGUAAGUCUCUGUGUCUGCUCUCAGUGUGCUUUUCCACUGCCUUGCCUUUAUGAAGUCUCCGCUAAUUAAGAUUGGUCUCGUUAUCUGAUUGUUCAUUGCACAAUCUUGUGUGGCCUGAUUUUUGUAUUUUCCCUCUGUGUGCACAUCAGAAAAACAAAAGGCUUAAAAAUACAUUGAGUGGCCACUUUAUUAGGUACACCUGUACUUCUUUGUUUAUGCAACUAUCUAAUCAGCCAAUCAUGUGGCAGUAACUCAGAAAAGCAAGCAGACAUGGUUAAAAGGUUCAUUUGUUGUUCAGAACAAACAUCAGAAUGGGGAAAAAAUGUGAUCCAAGUGGUUUUGACCAUGGAAUGAUUGUUGGUGCCAGAUGGGGUGCUUUGAGUAACUCAGAAAGCGUUGAUAUACCAGAAUUUUCAUGCAGAACAGUCUCUAGGCUUUACAGAAAAUGCUGCAAAAAAGAUAAAAAAAAGUUUUGUGGGUGAAAGUGCCUUGUUAAUGGUCAGACUGGUUCAAGCUGAUAGGAAAGUGACAGUAACUCAAAUAACCAUGUGUUACAACAGUGAUGUGCAGAAGAGCAUCUCUAAAUGCACAACACAUUAAAUCUUGAAGUCACUGGGCCACAGCAGCAGAAGUCCAUGAACAUACACCCAGUGGCCACUUUAUUGGACACAGGAGGUACCAAAUAAUGUGUGGCCACUGGGUAUAAAUGAGAUAGUAUGAUGAAAUUAAUCUUUAUCUUCAAAGCAAGAGAUAUCAGUGGCAGCUGUGCAUCAUUCUACCAUCUACCUAGGUUGUCUGAGGCAGCUAUUCUCAACACCAUGCAGAAGUCCAAUGUACAUUUAUAUCCAGAACGAGGGGCCACAGUUUGAGGAUAGAGGGGAAGCCUUUUAGGACCGAGAUUAGGAAAAACUUCUUCACACAGAGAGUGGUGAAUCUGUGGAAUUCUCUGCCACAGGAAACUGUUGAGGCCAGUUCAUUGGCUAUAUUUAAGAGGGAGUUAGAUAUGGCCCUUGUGGCUACGGGGGUCAGGGGGUAUGGAGGGAAGGCUGGGGCGGGGUUCUGAGUUGGAUGAUCAGCCAUGAUCAUAAUAAAUGGCAGUGCAGGCUCGAAGGGCCGAAUGGCCUACUCCUGCACCUA